CGACCCUGUGCGGGAGAGACCCCACGCCGCCAGCGUGGGGCGCCGAAGGGGCAACCUCCCCGGAACCUCUCAGGCAAAAGGACCGCGCGGGCGAG
rnacentral:ncRNA from 1 species